UACAACUCAGGAAUCAUCAACAAUGUUUCAAGGAAUGUUGGAGCUGAAGAAGGCAAAGGGGAUUGGAUACUUCAGCACGAAAGGAUUAGGCCUUAUACUCGAAAAUGGGAGAAGAGUGUAAUGGAGACCAUUGACGAGCUAAACCUCAUCUCAAAGAGAGUGAAUUUUGGUAAUUCAGGCCAUGGUUGUGAUGUCAAACAUGAUGUCCCGGCCGUGUUCUAGAGUGAAUUUUGGUAAUUCAGGCCAUGGUUGUGAUGUCAAACAUGAUGUCCCGGCCGUGUUCUUCUCAAAUGGGGGCUAUACCGGCAAUGUGUACCACGAAUUCAACGAUGGAAUCAUUCCUUUGUACAUUACCUCCCAGCAUUUCAACAAGAAGGUUGUGUUUGUGAUCCUUGAAUAUCACAAUUGGUGGAUCACCAAGUACGGAGACAUUCUUUCUCACCUUUCGGAUUAUCCGGCCAUCGAUUUUAGAGGAGACAACAGGACUCAUUGCUUCCCUGAAGCCAUUGUUGGCCUUAGAAUCCAUGAUGAGCUCACGGUGGAUUCGGCUUUGAUGCAAAGGAACAAGAGCAUUGUUGACUUUAGAAACCUUCUCGAUAAGGCCUAUUGGCCGCGGAUUCAUGGAUUGAUUCAAGAUGAAGAAAGGGAAGCACAAGAAAAGUUAAGAAAACAAAUGUCUUCAUCCCCAUCAUCAGAAUCGGAACCAGAAUCAGAAUCUCCACAGAAACAAGAGUACAUAAUUAAGCAAAAAGUACAAGAGAAUCCUUUGAAGAAACCCAAGUUGGUUAUUCUCUCUAGAGACAAAUCAAGAGAAGUAACAAAUGAAAAUUCUAUGGUUAAAAUGGCUGAGGAAAUCGGCUUUGAAGUCGAAGUCUUGAAGCCAGACAGAACAACAGAAUUGGCCAAGAUUUAUAGGUCACUGAAUGCAAGUGAUGUGAUGAUCGGCGUCCACGGCGCAGCAAUGACACAUUUCUUGUUCUUGAGGCCUGGCUCAGUGUUCAUUCAAGUUGUUCCUUUGGCACAACUUUGCAGAAACAUAUUAUGGUGAACCUGCAAGAAAACUUGGUUUGAAGUACAUUGGCUAUGAAAUUCAGAUUAGAGAGAGUUCUUUGUAUGAGAAAUAUGAUAAGAAUGAUCCUGUUCUAAGGGACCCCCAAAGCAUCACAAAGAAAGGUUGGGAAUUCACAAAGAAGAUUUAUCUUGAUAGCCAAAAUGUUGUGUUUGGUCUCAGAGGAUUUAGAAAAAGGUUGCAGCAUGCUCAAUAAUAAUUUUUUUUCAAUUUGUUCUUUUGUUUCAUUUUACUUCUCUAUGUUCAUUCUUUGAAAUGUAGAAAGAAAGAAAGAUUACAUUUUUUUUAGUAUUGAGCAUAUUAUACAGCAAAAUACUUAAAAAUGAAUUAUAGAAUGUGUAAGUAUAAGAGCAACAACUUUCCAUUUUGGUAUUAAUAAAUUAAGGAUUUAAUUUGUAAAUUUAAUUCUGAUACAUAAUACAUGUAUCUAAUUAAGUAACACCACAUAGUAAAAAUAACUACCUUUUACACUAAUCGAGUGAAUAGUUAUCUAAAAAAACAUAUGAUUGUACGAAACAUGUACUCUUAAUUUAAAUUUAUUGAUGAGUUUUAGUAUCUUACACAAAUAUUUGACUUAACUGUUCAAUAUUUUUUAAGUUGGUACAAUAAAAUUCAGUUUUUAUUCAGCCUUUAAAUUUAAUAUUUUAUUAUUUUAAUUUUUUAAUUAAUCAUAUUUUCUAUUUUUAAGAAAUCACUUUUAUUUUUAAUAUUUAUCACUAUAAAAUUUGUAACCAUUUGCAAUACAUUAAUUUUUUGCAAACAAACCAUAAAAGUAAUAAAACUUGUAACAACUUUUUGUGUACUAAUUUUUAAAAAAUCAUUAAAGUUUUCAAAAUUAAUUAAACUCACUUCAAUUAUUUUUUUAUUCAAAACAUUUAAAACUCAUGUCAAAAAGACAAAAACACAUCUAAAAUUAAAUAAACAUAAUCACAUUUAAAAUUAUGUAUUAACAUAUCUAAAUUAUUGUCAUUAUAGUUCUAAAUUAUAUAUUGAACACAGAAAAAAAUUAAAUUCAAAUACACAUUCAAAAUUAUAAGAAUGCAUUCUAAAUAUUUUAUCAACACAUCCAAAACUCAUGUAAAAAAAUUUAUAUAUGUACAUAAGAACAUAAUUAACAAUAUAAACACAUCCAAAAUUAAGUAUUGACACAUUUAAAUUAGGUUAAUAUUACAACUCCCAAAUCAAACAUAUGAGUGCAAAAAAACUCCCUACUUUGUCUGGAGUGCACUAGCUUUCGCCUUCCCGAAGCAAAUGAAACAUCAGAGUCAUUUUCUUUGCCACCUUCGAAGGAGCCUUCAUUCCACGCUUUCUCCUAUUCUUUCCUUUGAUUUCUCUUCCUUCUUCUUCUUCUUCUUCUUCUUAUUCAUUUCCAUCAACAAAAAGAAACUCUCACAACAAAAAGCAGAGCCAUCUCUGUUUUUGAAGCUUUCUCUUCUUCCCUCCCUCCUUUGAUUCAAUUCUCAGAACAAAGACAUGGUUCACUACCACAGGUACCAUCAACCCAGAAAAGCUUCAGACCCCAUUAUCACAAAAGAUGAAGAAUCACAACAGAACCUUCUCAUGGAUUGUUCAACCUCUUCUUACUACAAGAGAACAAGGCCCAAGUUGCUCUCUUUCCUCUUCCUCAUCACUUUCCUCUCUUGCUGCUAUGUCCUUGCACCACUCUUCCUUCCCCCUUCUUUCACCUUCUCUCUCCUCUGUAAGCAACUCCUCUUUUCACUCUCAUACACUUGUGCUUUCUUAUUACAACGUGGGACUUCGUUUUUGACAUCUUUUAUGUUGUUCUUUUGGUUUGCUUUGGUUUUCAGACUCUCCUGCAACUGAAAAUGAUGCUCUUGUUGUAAAUGAUUCUGUGUGCUCUUCAGUUUCAAGCGGUAAUUCUUCUUAUUACCCCCUUUUCUUCUUUUUCAAUUUUCAGUUUCCAUGUUUUUUUUCUUUCUUUUUAGAAACAUAUUGCAUGACUAUAAAUGAAAAGGGGUUUGAUAUCAUAGCUUUAUGCAUUUUAUAACCUGGGAAAGUAAUGAUUUUUAUGUGUUUUAACCGCACAAAUUUUUGUGAUUGUUAUCAAACAUGAUGAUGAACAGUUAAAGUUUAAUUUGGUGUUUUCAUUUAUGCAGGAACUAUAUGCUGUGAUAGAACUGGUUAUAGGUCUGAUAUAUGUUUGAUGAAAGGGGACAUUAGAACACACUCUCCUUCCUCUUCAAUCUUCCUCUACAACUCAGGAAUCAUCAACAAUGUUUCAAGGAAUGUUGGAGCUGAAGAAGGCAAAGGGGAUUGGAUACUUCAGCACGAAAGGAUUAGGCCUUAUACUCGAAAAUGGGAGAAGAGUGUAAUGGAGACCAUUGACGAGCUAAACCUCAUCUCAAAGAGAGUGAAUUUUGGUAAUUCAGGCCAUGGUUGUGAUGUCAAACAUGAUGUCCCGGCCGUGUUCUUCUCAAAUGGGGGCUAUACCGGCAAUGUGUACCACGAAUUCAACGAUGGAAUCAUUCCUUUGUACAUUACCUC
rnacentral:lncRNA from 1 species